CCAAUAGCGUAUAUUAAAGUUGUUGCAGUUAAAAAGCUCGUAGUUGAAUUUCGGGAUUAAUUUACUGGUCGUGCUAUUGUACGUACUGGUUUUAUUGAUUCCUACCUUCUGACGAACUAUGAUGCCAUUAAUUUGGUGUCAUAGGGAAUCAGGACUGUUACUUUGAAAAAAUUAGAGUGUUUAAAGCAGGCUCACGCUUGCAUACAUUAGCAUGGAAUAACGAAAUAGGACGUUUGAUUCUAUUUUGUUGGUUUCUAGGAUCGACGUAAUGAUUAAUAGGGAUAGUUGGGGGCAUUAGUAUUCAAUUGUCAGAGGUGAAAUUCUUGGAUUUAUUGAAGACUAACUACUGCGAAAGCAUUUGCCAAGGAUGUUUUCAUUAAUCAAGAACGAAAGUUAGGGGAUCGAAGACGAUCAGAUACCGUCGUAGUCUUAACCAUAAACUAUGCCGACUAGGGAUCGGAUGAUGUUAAUUUUUUAAUGACUCAUUCGGCGCCUUACG
rnacentral:rRNA from 1 species